rnacentral:snRNA from 1 species
GACCUUGCCUGGCAGGGGAGAGACUACCUCUAUGGAGGUGAUUUUCCCAGGGUGAAACUCAUCCAUUUUAUUCAGACUCCUGCAAUUUCUCUGAACAUAGGAAGCUUGAGUGGAUAAUUUUUGGUUGAGGGAAGACUGUGUUGGCACUUUCCCU